AUUGAACGCUAGCGGGAUGCCUUACACAUGCAAGUCGAACGGAGUGGCGAACGGGUGAGUAAUGUAUCGGAACGUGCCCAGUAGCGGGGGAUAACUACGCGAAAGCGUAGCUAAUACCGCAUACGAUUGGAGCGGCUGCUAUCGGCUUAGCUAGUUGGAGGGGUAACGGCUCACAAAGGCGACGAGCCGUAGCUGGUUUGAGAGGACGACCAGCCACACUGGGACUGAGACACGGCCCAGACUCCUACGGGAGGCAGCAGUGGGGAAUUUUGGACAAUGGGCGAAAGCCUGAUCCAGCAAUGCCGCGUGUGUGAUGAAGGCCUUCGGGUUGUAAAGCACUUUUGGCAGGAAAGCGGUACCUGCAGAGUAAGCACCGGCUAACUACGUGCCAGCAGCCGCGGUAAUAC
rnacentral:rRNA from 1 species